UGGCCACCCCAAGUACUACAGAUGCAGGGGUUGAAGUGAAAACUCUCAGCAGAUAAAAAUAAUUUCGAAUACAAAAAUCCUAUAUUGUAUAAAUAAUUAAUAAGUUGAGUAUGUAUACUCCAUGAAAGUUCAACGUGUGUUAUCUAUGUGCUUUUUUUGUUGUUAAAGUUAUCUAUGUGCUUGUUAUUCCCGCUUUUGUAGACUAAUUAAUUAAGAGAAACAACCAGUUAUAUGGAACUGACCAUCAUCAUCGAAUUUGUUGUUAGACAACUGUAUCUUAUACAGAUUAUUGUUGUUUUCACGUUGUUAUUCUAGGCAAAACCUUACAAGGUGGAACUAAAUCUUGUAAAAACACUAUGAAGAAGAGUGGUCAACGGUUUGUUUAAGAAGAAAAUCCUGAGAAUUUUGUUAAUCCAGAGACUCUUUUGGAGAGAAUAAAAAGGUUGUAUGAAUGGUGGGAGCAAUCUAGCUUUUUCAAGGCUGAUUGUAAGAGUUCCAAACCAGCUUUUUGUUAUUAUGCUGCCUCCUUGGAAUGUUACUGGAAUCUUGCGUACCGAACACACACUGACAUCAGCCAUAGAGGUUUCUUAACUUGGCAUAUUGUUUUGGUCAUAAGAUUCUUUUGUUGGCUUUUUCUGAUGCAAGGGUCGAUUAACGUCAACCUCUCAAAUUCUGAAAAUUCUCUGCGUGAUGGGGCAAUCUACAUUAUCUCUGGCUUUGAAGUCACAAUAAGCAAUUACCGUUUUAAACUUAUUGAUUUCCAGUUACCGCUGAACGGCUGAACUUAAAACCACCGUAGCGAAUUUUCCAAUUCGGUUGAAUUAAUAGAAUCAAGUCCAUUAUGAGUCCACACUAUAAAGCCUCCUCAUGGUCUGUGUGUAUUCUU